AGAGUUUGAUCCUGGCUCAGGAAGAACGCUAGCGGCAGGCCUUAUACAUGCAAGUCGAGGGGCAGCAUUUACUUCGGUAAAUGGCGACCGGCGCACGGGUGAGUAACGCGUAUGCAACCUACCUUUAACUGGGGCAUAGCUCGAGGAAACUCGAAUUAAUUCCCCAUAGUACAAUAUAAUAUCGCAUGAUAUAAUUGUUAAAGAUUUAUCGGUUAAAGAUGGGCAUGCGUCUGAUUAGNUUGUUGGUNAGGUAACGGCUNACCAAGGCNACGAUCAGUAGGGGNUCUGAGAGGAUGAUCCCCCACANUGGUACUGAGACACGGACCAGACNUCUACGGANGGCAGCAGUAAGGAAUAUUGGGCAAUGGGCGNAAGCCUGACCCAGCCAUGCCGCGUGCAGGAUUGANGACCNUAUGGGUUGUAAACUGCUUUUAUAUAGGAAGAAAAAACUCUUGCGAGAGUAACUGACGGUACUAUAUGAAUAAGGACCGGCUAACUCCGUGCCAGCAGCCGCGGUAAUACGGAGGGUUCAAGCGUUUUCCGGAUUUAUUGGGUUUAAAGNGUGCGUAGGUGGUUUAUUAAGUCAGUGGUGAAAUCCUGCAGCUCAACUGUAGAACUGCCAUUGAUACUGGUAAACUUGAGUUUGGUUUAGGUAAGCGGAAUUUAUGAUGUAGCGGUGAAAUGCAUAGAUAUCAUAAGGAACACCAAUAGCGAAGGCAGCUUACUGGACCANAACUGACACUGAGGCACGAAAGCGUGGGUAGCGAACAGGAUUAGAUACCCUGGUAGUCCACGCCGUAAACG
rnacentral:rRNA from 1 species